rnacentral:tRNA from 3 species
CCUGGUUGAGCUUCUGGACGUAGCCGUCGAUCAGCUCGACGGUCUGCGGGGCGGCGACGACCUCGGCGUACGACUUGCCGGCCAGGCC